GACACCCAGAGGAGCCCCGGCGUCGGAGAGAGCCCCGAGCCGCCGUGAAUUUCUUCACAUUCAAUUUCCUUCUGACAACAGAUGUUCCUGCUCUAGUCAUAGAUAUCUUGGUCUGAGAAGCUUGAGGCUCCUGACAUACAGGUAUAUCCAGGAAGAGCCAUUACGAAAAGUCUGACCUUUAACAAUACUGAAAAAACAUUCUAGCUAUUUAACCUCACUGAUUAAACAUUUCUUACUGAAGCCAGGCCUCAAGUACCUUUUCUCAUGAUGGAAGACUAAGGGUGGAGGUGAAAAAAUAUCCGAAUUCUCUUUUUCCUCUUUCUUGGACCACAGAUUUCACUGUAAACUCAAUUUUGUCAAAGGUAUUUCAAGGUAACUUUUUUUCAGAACUGCCCCUGUGUACAACUCAUGAUCUUCACAACAGAAAUACCAUUCUGUAGAAAUGGAACCAAGUCCACUUAAAACAGCCCCCAAGCUUGAGAGCUGUAUUAGAACCUUCUGGUGUCAGUCUUGCACAGAACAAAAACACCUGAAGAAAAUCUCAGCUGAAGAGUGAUUGUACAUGCAGGGAAAAUAUCAGAAGCGCCAGUGCUGGACAGGAAAUUGCACAAAUUUGCAGGUAUGAUUUGUCCUGCACAAUUCCAGUGCCAGACAUUCAUUUCCAUUUUGUAUUUCUGCCACCAGAAUACAGAAGCAGAGAGCAAUCCUAAGCACAUUAUCCCUAUAACUCACAGAAAGCAGUGUUUCACUGACCCCUUUAAACUCAGUACCAGGCACUUUCUAUAUAUAAGAGAAGUUUACACGCAAUAGCUGAAUAAAAUCUGAGUUCCAGAAGUUGAGUUAGAGACCCAGAGCAAAAGGGUAUUUCAUGACCAGGAUUCACUGCUGCUGAACCAAGAGCUCAAGCUGAAGGAUAUAA